CCAAUGGGAGCCCUGGGUGGGGUGAGCUGGGGCGGCUGCCCCGGCCCUGCCCGCGGAGCCCGCGGGGCAGGCGGGUCAUGAAAGGGUUCAGGAGAGGCAGGGAAGGCACCGAGCCAGCGCCUCACCCCGCUGGGAUGGCGGGGAUGGGACCCGAGGGGAUGGGACCCGCUGGGACGGCUGGGAGGGGAUCCGCUGGGAUCUCGGGGAUGCGCAGAGUCCGAGCACCCGCGGUGCUCACCCCGCACAGCGCAGGUGGCAGAGUACUUCAGUUUUCCAGCAGCAUUUGCACUUUAAAAAGACGGAACAAGAAAAGUGCACGGAGUUGAGGAACAAGAAGCUGUGGGGUGUGAACUGCCCUUACCCUCUCCGGCUGAGUAACCAGAAAAGGUCAUGUGGGCAUCAGCGGAGAAGGCAAAAUUCCCUUCACUGUGGGUGGUUGUUAGCCAUUAAAUCCGGACAGAAAUGUUUGAAUCCAUUGUUUUAGUCAGAAACUGCACAGAAAUGCUCAAAGAAUGCUCAGAGAAGGCAGGAGAGGAGCAAGAACAGUGCCUUUUGUGACUCGGCUCUAACCCCCUUUAUGUGAGGCUUUAUGUGAAGCAGAGUGUGCAGACAAAGGCUGUGCUGGACAGAGCACCAUCAGAAGAUGGAUUUCACACAUAAAGGCACACGUCUCAAAGUCAAAUUAAUAACAAUUAAACAUCCAGGGCAGCAGUGAUCAGCAGAGAGAAAAGAAAAUGUACACUGCAGAAUUUUUCUGGGAGUUUUGUACAUCCAUCCCAAGUGAUUUUCUGCAGUGGGAUCAUCCUCUGUGGGCCACAAGGUCAGAGCACGUCCCAGGCAGGCUUUAAAGUUAAAGUUGGUUCAAAGGUUUGCAUUUUUAUUUUUUUGGGGGGGGUGGAACAGCACAAAUUGUCAUUCUGAGAUUUGUUUGCUUUGAAGCAGUGCUACAGAAACACAUCUCACUGUCCCUGUAGGCAGUUCAGGCUCCAUUCAGGGAUAAGUUCUGAGAAUCCAGACAAGAGGAGACAAUUUGUGCACUCUGCCUACUUAAGGGCUGAAAAUGAACUCAUUUGAAGGGUCACAGCUUCGUGCCUGUGAAACGAUGUCUUUGAAGAGUCUGGAACAGGCAAGUCAAGACUAAACUGGGCACAGGUCAAUUUUCCCAUGUUCUUCACAGCUACGGGGAGGAAACCACCCUGUUAAUAUGAAAUCUUCUCUCUCUGAAGCUGUUUUUAAAUGACAGAAUGGAAAGGGCUGUAUUUAACCCCUGUGGCAGGGAAGUUGGUGUGCUGGGAGCUUGGAGCUGGGGCAGAUUCCUCAAUUCCCGCUCCAGUGCACGUCCAAGGGCGUCUGCAGCCUCCCCUUCUUCCCCCCUUUCUAAGAGAUCUCAAACCCAAGCUUUCAUUUCCAUUUGUGACCUUUAGAACAUAUCAAGGUUAUCUCAAGAGAAAAGCAAGACCAGGUCAGUGUUCUUGAGCUGAAUUUUGGGUGAAUCCCUGCACUGAGGCACCUGAAAGGGGUCACUGCUGUCCCACACAUGUCCACCCACAAGAAUUCCCACAUUUUCCAAUAGAACAGCAAAUGACAGCUCUGAGUGGAAAAUGAAAUAAACCUUUUCACUUCUCCACUAUGGCAAAGAGGAUUUUUAGGUCAAAGACCAGGAAAGAGCUGAAGAUCAAAACUAAAGAGCUGAUUUUUCUAUGCUUCUCUUUUGCUCUUGGUUUGAUUUCUGCUGUCUUGGAUGUCAGGAGAGAAUAUUCCUUGAAAAACCAUGUGCCAGGGGGAUGUUUCUGUGGAAGAUCUGCUGUGCAGCUGAGGAUCUUUGAGUUUUGUAAAUAUUGAUGGGAAAGAACAGUAAUUCCCAUUCUCCAGAAGAGAAACUGAAAUGGCUUUGAAAACUGAGAUCUCCAAGUUAUUCACGUUCACCGUGAAAUGAAGGCAAAAGAAAUCUUUAUUCUAUUUUUACUCAAAUACCAGCUUUUAACACUAAACUCCUCUUCUUAUCUCACAUUCUGGAUUACUCCUCUCCAAGAUGACCGUAGCAGUGUGAAGAUAAAGCUGUUCAGUUUGUCAAAGAAAAGGCAGCAACAAUGUUGGGUUUUGGCAUUUGCUUACACUUAUCUCACAAAAAUAAACAUUUCUUGUUCCUGUG